UGAGUCAUUAAAUAACAUCAUCCGAUCCCUAGUCGGCAUAGUUUAUGGUUAAGACUACGACGGUAUCUGAUCGUCUUCGAUCCCCUAACUUUCGUUCUUGAUUAAUGAAAACAUCCUUGGCAAAUGCUUUCGCAGUAGUUAGUCUUCAAUAAAUCCAAGAAUUUCACCUCUGACAAUUGAAUACUA
rnacentral:rRNA from 1 species